UACGUAGGGUGCGAGCGUUUGUCCGGAAUUAUUGGGCGUAAAGAGCUUGUAGGCGGUUUGUCGCGUCUGCUGUGAAAAUCCGGGGCUCAACCCCGGACUUGCAGUGGGUACGGGCAGACUAGAGUGUGGUAGGGGGAGACUGGAAUUCCUGGUGUAGCGGUGAAAAUGCGCAGAUAUCAGGAGGAACACCGAUGGCGAAGGCAGGUCUCUGGGCCACUACUGACGCUGAGAAGCGAAAGCAUGGGGAGCGAACAGG
rnacentral:rRNA from 1 species